AACGAACGCUGGCGGCAGGCCUAACACAUGCAAGUCGAGCGAACCGCAAGGUUAGCGGCGGACGGGUUAGUAACGCGUGGGAACGUGCCCAAAGGUACGGAAUAGCCUCGGGAAACUGAGAGUAAUACCGGAUGUGCCCGAAAGGGGAAAGCUUUAUCGCCUUUGGAUCGGCCCGCGUUGGAUUAGGUAGUUGGUGGGGUAAUGGCCUACCAAGCCGACGAUCCAUAGCUGGUUUGAGAGGAUGAUCAGCAACACUGGGACUGAGACACGGCCCAGACUCCUACGGGAGGCAGCAGUGGGGAAUCUUAGACAAUGGGGGAAACCCUGAUCUAGCCAUGCCGCGUGGGCGAUGAAGGCCUUAGGGUUGUAAAGCUCUUUCACCGGGGAAGAUAAUGACGGUACCCGGAGAAGAAGCCCCGGCUAACUCCGUGCCAGCAGCCGCCGUAACAC
rnacentral:rRNA from 1 species